rnacentral:rRNA from 1 species
AUUGAACGCUGGCGGCAGGCCUAACACAUGCAAGUCGAGCGGAGCGGCGGACGGGUGAGUAAUGCCUAGGAAGAUGCCUGGUAGUGGGGGAUAACGUCCGGAAACGGGCGCUAAUACCGCAUACUAUCAGAUGAGCCUAGGUCGGCUUAGAUAGUUGGUGGGGUAAGGGACUACCAAGGCGACGAUGCGGAACUGGUCUGAGAGGAUGACCAGCCACACUGGAACGGAGACACGGGCCAGACUCCUACGGGAGGCAGCAGGGGUGAAUAUUGCACAAUGGGCGCAAGCCGGAUGCAGCCAUGCCGCGUGUGGGAAGAAGGCCUUCGGGUUGUAAAGCACUUUCAGCGGGGAGGCGUUACCCGCAGAAGAAGCACCGGCUAACUCCGUGCCAGCAGCCGCGGUAAUUC